GGAGAAGCAAAGUGAUGAGCUUUACUGGCUGGAGCCCCAGGAGGCACGUGUAUGUGUAUGUAUCUGUGUGCUUGUCUGUGCAUGCACAGGUGUGUCUGGGCGUAUGAAUGUGUGUGACUGAUUGUAGGGAAUUAGCUGUGUGCCUUCUGUUGGGCUAUGAUGGUCAAACUGAUAAGAUCUGAUUGUUUC
rnacentral:snoRNA from 14 species